CCAGAAUGUUGACAACAUCCACUCCUGAAACAAGUCUUAAUUUUGAAAUCUAUGCAAUAUCUUCUGCUGCUGGAGGCUUUUAUGUAUUAACCUUAACAGAAGGCUGAAGGGCUGAAAUGAAAUCUUGGCACACGUACAAGAUUCAGAGCGUUGCAUGUCUUGCAGUUCAGGUUUGGCUUGUCUGCUUUUCAGCUCUUCUAGACAUUGGAAAUUCCAGUUUGUGUUUAUUUUCUCUGGAUUCCUUCCCACAAGACAGAAGUGAAUUCAGCAUGGAUUAUUGGGGAGAGCCUUGGCUGGGAAUAAGGAUAAUUGCAGCCUCUGGCUGUGCCACAGUUUCACUGAUGAUUUCUUUUAAGUUACUCACCUGCACUGUAUCUGUUUCCUCAGCUGUAAAAUGUGGGUAAUUACCUCCAUUGUAAAAUGUUACAGGGUCUGCUGGUAAUUAUAUGAACGAAGUGCUAAUUACAGUGAUUAUCCCUUGGACCUAGUCUAGAUCUGGCUGAUGUUCCUGUUGCGAUGAACAUAUGAAACAAAUACUACAACUUGCUUUUCUCCAUUCUUUGCGAGGGGCCUGGGAGGUGCCGUGUCACAGGAUGUGUUCCCAGUGAGAAGCUCUGCUGCCCUGUCACCCAGAUCCCUCUGCUCAUUUCUCGUUCCCCUCCACCCUCGUGUGUUACACGGCUGUGGGCUGAGGAAUUACUGAUUCAGUAGUUGGAGCCACAUAUGAUCUGAUAGCCAGGGUUUAUGCUGUGGCUUUGCUUUUCCUCUUGGGGAUAUGUGAAGGCAGCAGCCAGGGAACUGCUCCCGAGGUACCACUUGGGUUGGGGCCAGUCUGUGCUGCCUAGUGGCCUCUUAUUCCUUAAGAAGUUCUGACCUUGAUGCCAGGAGAGGUGUCCUUCCAGCUGUGGAGAUUAUUUCCCUCCUGUAAAAGCCUACAGCUUCAAGACUUUAUUAUCAAACAUUUUAUUUGCCUUUCUCCGUUUAUUUAGGACACACUUUCUUUGUAGCUGGGAAUAGCUCUACUAUCCCCUGAGCAGGGCUGGGUAGUGGAGGAAGAACUGAUAUUCUUCAAGGUAGAAAUGGAGUGUUCUCAUCCAGAAAAUCCUCCUGCUGCUGCUGGGAAUGUGCUGUAGUUUUUGUUGGUAGUAAUAAGUCACACUGUAUAUCCAGGUAAUGAUGAGAGUCUCCUCUCCUAUGCAAUCCCUGCCUUCCCUGGUCACAGACCUCAUGGC
ensembl:lncRNA